CUCGUAGGUGGUUUGUCGCGUUGUCCGUGAAAACUCACAGCUCAACUGUGGGCGUGCGGGCGAUACGGGCAGACUGGAGUACUGCAGGGGAGACUGGAAUUCCUGGUGUAGCGGUGGAAUGCGCAGAUAUCAGGAGGAACACCGGUGGCGAAGGCGGGUCUCUGGGCAGUAACUGACGCUGAGGAGCGAAAGCGUGGGGAGCGAACA
rnacentral:rRNA from 1 species